AUUUCUCCUUUGUUGAGCACGGGUCAUGGCACAACAUUGUUAUAGCUGGUUCUACACAGUGCUCAAGCAAUUUCAUAAUUGGCUUGCGCCGUCCAAGGUUUCAAGUAGGAGCAAGGCCUACCGCACCACGGCGUCGAGCCAGCUGUCGGACGAGCGGGGAGAGCGUGAGGGAGAAGUCGGUGUCACCUCCCGCAACCGUCGCACUGGGUUCUUGUGUUGAUCAACAGCAAGGGCAGGAGUCCUUUAGGAUGCCAACAAAUUAUCUCUAGUUGCUAUUUGCUGGUUAGGCUGCCUGGUCCUAGAUGGUAGGUCAAGAGGUGGAAAUGCCAAGAAAUUGAUGUUAGUCGCAAACAAUGAGGACACCUACAGGGGGGGCGAGGAGGUUAGAUUCUGGUUGGCCAAAUAUAGUGUCUCUGCAUGUGAUUAUACAUGGUUUCUGAAGCAAGUUCAUUGGUUUGGUCUGAAGAAAAAUAUCUUUUGUCACAUUUGUGCAAAGCCCUUUUUCAGCAUUUCUGAGGAUGUGAAGUUAUGUUUCCAUCCUCAUAUUUGUCACACACAAAUUUCUCAAUUUGCAUGAGUAGAUCUAAUCAAGUUGUAUCAGGCUUUAUCACACCUUUUAUAUGGCAGGGUACCAUUGAUCCUAUAUAGAAAAUUUAUCCUUUACCUAAUCACAUGUGGAGUUUAGACUGAUGUUGCCUCAGAAAAAGAUGAGGAUAUCGAGCCAAGGUGUAUCACCCGCUCAUUUGCUUAUAAGGGCAGGCUACUUUUUUAUAUUUUGGCUCAAACAAGCUGCUCCCAGCCACGGUUGAUCCACUAAAUUUUAUCAAAUGAGGCAGAAUCUUCAGGACACGCUUGGUGUCUUGGAAAUACGCCACCAUCGGUGAUUCUUUCCAUUGAUAGGGGAGGACCAGAUCUUUUGCCUUACCAGGAUUUUUGCUUGACAUGUCAUAGCUACACCCCAUGAGCUUGGGCUGUGAUACAGAAGAAUUGCGCAAAGUUCGCAAAGAAUUAGCCAUUGAACUGUUGUGCAAAAAAGCACAUAACAUGGUUAAUUCUCUUGAUGCAGAACCUGAAACAUCGGUGGUUAAUUACUUUUGUUGACAAGCUUGUCCUAAACCUCAGCUUCGAUGAAGUAAUUUUAGCACCCGUUUCUUCCUUCUCUAAAGCAUGGGUUGCUGCAGAGAUGGUGUACUUGGAAGUGGAAGGGGAAGUGCAUAUUUAGCACAGUCUUGCCUUUUUCUGGUUCAGUACAUGAAAACUUGAGUUCAGCUUUGUGAGCCUGUUGCUAGAAGGAGAUGCGCAAGAGUAGUGACUGGGCAUUAUUCAGUUCUUAGCAUUAUUCAGUUCUUGCACCUCUGAUAGUGAGAUUGAGAAAAUUGAAAACCGUUAUCUGUGUGCGCCGAGUAGUGACUGGGCAUUAUUCAGUUCUUGGCAUUAUUCAGUUCUUGCACCUCUGAUAGUGAGAUUGAGAAAAUUCAAAACCGUUAUCUGUGUGCGCUUGUGGUUUUGUUAUUUACUGCUUACACCAAGGAAUUUGUUUUGAGAGAAUCUGAGGCACAUUAUGUAUCUUAUUGAAAAGCUACUGAGUAGCUUCAGAUGGAAUGUUGUCUCAGAUUAUAAUUAAUUUAGUAGCUUCAGAUGGAA